UACAGAGGUGGCAAGCGUUGUUCGGAAUUACUGGGCGUAAAGGGCGCGUAGGCGGCCUUCUAAGUCGGACGUGAAAUCCCCAGGCUUAACUUGGGAACUGCGUCCGAUACUGGAGGGCUUGAGUGCGGGAGAGGGAUGUGGAAUUCCAGGUGUAGCGGUGAAAUGCGUAGAUAUCUGGAGGAACACCGGUGGUGAAGGCGGCAUCCUGGACCGACACUGACGCUGAUGCGCGAAAGCCAGGGGAGCAAACGGG
rnacentral:rRNA from 1 species